rnacentral:rRNA from 1 species
AUGCCCUUCUCCGAAGCCGUCAAAAUUCUGAGUACACCCAACAAGGAGAUUAGUGUUGUCACUACCCCCACUACUGCAUUUGGUGUGCCUUCUAGUGCCACUUCCCCGAUAUCCAUUCAAAAAAUAUACUGCUCUAAUCUGCUAAAAGAAUUGGACAACUCUGAAUCUGAUACUGCAAGUGAGGCUGCUGAUUCUGAAGAGGAAAUGGAUACUUUUGAAGCUCCUGUAGUCAGUGGUUUGAAGAUGAUGGGUUUAGUGGAAAACUUGGCUCUUUCCAAUGAGCAACCUGCUGCCAAGAACAAGUGGGGUCCAGUUAUAGCUCCAAGACCUAGUACCAGAGUCCACAACAGGUAA